GGAGGAUGUAGCUCAGUGGUAGAACGUCCGUCCGCUUUGCAUGCGGAAGGCCCGGGGUUCGUUCCCCCGCAUCUCCA